CGCGAAGCAGAGCUUCUCCAAGAUCACGGAGGUCGUCCCUGGGUGAAAUAACGGUCAGGUUCAUCACGGAAACCAAAGGAGUGUUCCGGGACGCACAAACCGUGCAUCUUUGACGACGGGCGUGCUGGUAUCAUGAAAUUCCAAGGGACAAUGCGCGAAAGGGAAAGUUGUUUCAAUCGAUCUGAGGCUUACAUUGGUCAGCUUCGCGACCGUCACUGGUACGAUGUCCGCUUCCAGUUCAAGAACGAGACUCGUGGGAACAACACACUG